UCUUUAUUGGAUAGUGGCUAAUUUGAACUUAGCUUUAGGGUGUUCGACUCACUCAGGAUCUU
rnacentral:tRNA from 1 species